rnacentral:lncRNA from 1 species
CUCCAACCCUUGGGCCAGGCUGCCCAUGUGGGGCCAGGAGGCAGCUCAGAGUGGGAGGCAGAGAGAGAAGUGUGCUCAGAGGGCACCUGUAUCUGGAUGUAAUGUGGUCCUGAGACUCUGGCUGGGAAGUGCUUCCAGGGUAUCAUAUGUGUUAUGCAGCUACUUCCUCUCCCCAGCCUUACCCUGUAGGAAUUCUAGUGACUAUGUUGCCACCAUCUUGGAGCUCCAUGCCCUCAUAGUGUAAUGGCACCAGCAGAUCUGCCUGUGCACAGACUUCCUGUACUACCUCACUCCUGAGGGGAGAUGCUUCUGCGGGCCUGCGACCUGGUGCUCAACUUUAGACACCAUCAUCCUGGAGCGGCACUGCACCCUCACUAGCCAGGGUGUUGACGUCCUCAAGGCCAAGGCCACAUUCAAGACUUUGGACUUCAUUGAUGCACUUGUGCCGAGCAAGCUUAUCUGAUCUUCUGGGAUCUCUACUAGGAUGCUGGCAGCCCAGCCAGCUGGUCUGGCCCUGGACGUGCCUUCAGGGGCUGGGUAUGCUUCAUGACCUGUGUUUUGAUCCUGGUUGGAGUAAAACAUUCCAUGGGAACUCGGGCUGUGAGAAAUGUCCUAACCACCUGACUGCAGAAACAUCCUUAUCACAUCCUGCUGGGCAAAGGCCCAACAGCCUGACUUCAGGAACAUCCUUAUCAUCUUCUACUGAGCAGCAAGCUAUACUGUCCAGAGCCCUCCCUCCCAGCGCUAUGAUUACCCCAGCCUGUGAGCGGCAGUGGGCACUGACACUAAGCUGGUUUCCCCCUCCGCAGGGUUUUGCUAGUAAUAAACCUGUGUUGCUGUUGAA